ACGGAAGGCAGCAGUGGGGAAUAUUGGACAAUGGGGGAAACCCUGAUGCAGCGACGCCGCGUGAGUGAAGAAGUAUUUCGGUAUGUAAAGCUCUAUCAGCAGGAAAGAAAAUGACGGUACCUGCCUAAGAAGCCCCGGCUAACUACGUGCCAGCAGCCGCGGUAAUACGUAGGGGGCAAGCGUUAUCCGGAUUUACUGGGUGUAAAGGGAGCGUAGACGGCUUUGCAAGUCUGAAGUGAAAGCCCGGGGCUCAAACCCGGAACUGCUUUGGAAACUGGAGGGCUGGAGUGCAGGAGAGGUAAGUGGAAUUCCUAGUGUAGCGGUGAAAUGCGUAGAUAUUAGGAGGAACACCAGUGGCGAAGGCGGCUUACUGGACUGUAACUGACGUUGAGGCUCGAAGGCGUGGGGAGCAAACAGGAUUAGAUACCCUGGUA
rnacentral:rRNA from 1 species